AUGUACACACAAAAGGCAAAAAAUAGGCUCAUUGGUCAAAGGAAAACGAAAAUGGCUCAGAUUACAGCAAAAAUUAAGGAAAUUGAAAAUAUGAAAAAUAAAGGGGAGCAUGUUCAUAAAGUUGAGUCAGAAAUACUGCAAGGUUUUACCAAGCUGUAUGAAGAAUUAAUCAUGCUCAAUAACAGCAUUGUGCAGCUUUUACCAUCUGAUGAAGCGAGCGCAGAUCAGUUUAACUGGUAUGAGCCAAAGUCUACUGCCAUUAAAGGGUUUAUGCGUGGGACAGAAAAGUGGAUAAAAGAACAAAGGACUAUACAGGACGAAGAAGAUCCACAUGAUAGUGUCUCAGUGGUAGCCCAACGCAGUCGAAAAGGCAAGACUAAAGCUGGUUCCAGUACUGCUAGUUCUUCAGUUGUGUCGUGCACUAGCUCUGUGGCACGCAUGAAAGAAGAAGCAAAAAGAGGAGCUCUUUUAGCGCAAGCAGAAUCAAUAAAAAAGAAGAAGGUGAUGCAGCUGCAAGAGGCAAACUUAAGAGCAGAGAUGGAACAGUUAGAAUUAGAAACUGCAAUUGCAGCCUCUACUGCUAAGCUGAAGGUGUUUGAGAGUCAUGAAAGCCGUCGUGAUGCCAUGAAUGAAUAUGUGACAGCGAUGUUGCCAAGUACAGAUGUACAUAGCCACAUACAAGGGGGACAUGGUUCUCUAGCUGAAUCCCAUACAAAAAUUAUGAGAGCACACCCUGUACACAAAGUUCACAGCCCGGCAACAAGUUAUAACUACAAGGAUCAAGAUCAUAUUCCUGACACUACCACUAAAAAUAUGGAACAUGCACCUUGUGCAUAUCUUGGUCAUCAAGUGCCUACAGACAGAGCCUCAUCUGACGAGCCUCAGGAACCCAUGCCUGCAGGGAACAGGAUUUACGAAGUGAUGCGACAUCAGAACAUGAUAACCGAGAUGUUGGUCAAGCAACAAGAUCUGUCACUAUUACCCAAAAGAGACAUUCCUGUUUUUGCUGGGGUUCCGCCCACCUAUAGAUCUUUUCUCAGAGCUUUUGAAAAUGCUAUUGACAGCAAGACACAGAAUGCUAGAGACAAACUUUUCUUUCUGGAACAGUAUACUAGUCGAGAACCACAAGAACUGGUGAGAAGCUGUGAGCACAUGCCUCCAGAGAAGGGCUACAGAGAAGCUAGGCUAUUGCUUCAUCAGCAAUAUGGUGAUGAGUUGAAAAUAGCAAUGGCUUACAUUGAGAAAGCCUUGAAGUGGCCACAGAUAAAGGCAGAAGAUGCUAAGGGCUUGAAUGCCUAUGCUCUCUUCUUGAUUGGUUGCAGAAACACCAUGCAGGAUGUUGACUACAUGGAUGAAAUGGAUAACCCAACGAACAUGAGAGCCGUACUGUCUAAACUACCUUACAAGAUGAGGGAGAGAUGGAAACAUGUGGCAUUUGACCUGCUGGAGAACAGAAAAAGGAGAGCUAAGUUUGCAGACUUAGUAAGUUUCAUAGAGAGACAAGGCAAGAUUGCCAUAGAUCCUUUAUUUGGCAACCUUCAGGGAGCCAGUGUUUCAGUUGGACAGAAGGAAAAGGUCACGCCUCAACAAACUUUGAGAAGUUCAAGAGGCAGAUACGCAAGGAUAAGAUUGACUUUUUGA
ensembl:lncRNA